rnacentral:rRNA from 1 species
AGAGUUUGAUCAUGGCUCAGGAUGAACGCUAGCGGGAGGCCUAACACAUGCAAGCCGAGCGGUAGAGAUCUUUCGGGAUCUUGAGAGCGGCGUACGGGUGCGGAACACGUGUGCAACCUGCCUUUAUCUGGGGGAUAGCCUUUCGAAAGGAAGAUUAAUACCCCAUAAUAUAUUAGAUGGCAUCAUUUGAUAUUGAAAACUCCGGUGGAUAGAGAUGGGCACGCGCAAGAUUAGAUAGUUGGUGAGGUAACGGCUCACCAAGUCAGUGAUCUUUAGGGGGCCUGAGAGGGUGAUCCCCCACACUGGUACUGAGACACGGACCAGACUCCUACGGGAGGCAGCAGUGAGGAAUAUUGGACAAUGGGUGAGAGCCUGAUCCAGCCAUCCCGCGUGAAGGACGACGGCCCUAUGGGUUGUAAACUUCUUUUGUAUAGGGAUAAACCUUUCCACGUGUGGAAAGCUGAAGGUACUAUACGAAUAAGCACCGGCUAACUCCGUGCCAGCAGCCGCGGUAAUACGGAGGGUGCAAGCGUUAUCCGGAUUUAUUGGGUUUAAAGGGUCCGUAGGCGGGCUCGUAAGUCAGUGGUGAAAUCUCAUAGCUUAACUAUGAAACUGCCAUUGAUACUGCGAGCCUUGAGUAAGGUAGAGGUAGCUGGAAUAAGUAGUGUAGCGGUGAAAUGCAUAGAUAUUACUUAGAACACCAAUUGCGAAGGCAGGUUACCAUGUCUUAACUGACGCUGAUGGACGAAAGCGUGGGGAGCGAACAGGAUUAGAUACCCUGGUAGUCCACGCCGUAAACGAUGCUAACUCGUUUUUGGGUUUUCGGAUUCAGAGA